rnacentral:rRNA from 1 species
UACAGAGGGUGCGAGCGUUGUCCGGAAUCACUGGGCGUAAAGGGUGCGUAGGUGGCGUGGUAAGUCGGGUGUGAAAUUUCGGAGCUUAACUCCGAAACUGCAUUCGAUACUGCCGUGCUUGAGGACUGGAGAGGAGACUGGAAUUUACGGUGUAGCAGUGAAAUGCGUAGAGAUCGUAAGGAAGACCAGUGGCGAAGGCGGGUCUCUGGACAGUUCCUGACACUGAGGCACGAAGGCCAGGGGAGCAAACGGG